CAUCACCACCAGCCUCGACGGGCUGCAGAGCCUGUCGCUGGCCAAGAUCACGGUCCACCACCGCGGCCACCGGGGCUCCGUCUCCGUCCUCGGCGGCACCUACAACACCAAGCCAUCAGACUACCCGGUGGUCGGUGGCACCGGCGACUUCGCGUACGCGCUAGGAUACGUCCGGUCGUCGCCGUUGGACUUGCGGGGACGGACGGUGACGUACAAGAUGGAGCUUCACUUGUACUGGCCU
rnacentral:lncRNA from 1 species